rnacentral:rRNA from 1 species
ACAUGCCUACGGGGCGCAGCAGUAGGGAAUCUUCCACAAUGGGCGAAAGCCUGAUGGAGCAACGCCGCGUGGGUGAAGAAGGUCUUCGGAUCGUAAAACCCUGUUGUUAGAGAAGAAAGUGCGUGAGAGUAACUGCUCACGUUUCGACGGUAUCUAACCAGAAAGCCACGGCUAACUACGUGCCAGCAGCCGCGGUAAUACGUAGGUGGCAAGCGUUAUCCUGCUUUAUUGGGCGUAAAGGGAACGCAGGCGGUCUUUUAAGUCUUAUUUGAACGCCUUCGGCUUAACCGGAGUAGUGCAUUGGA